UGUAUUGUAAGAAUUUCACUAUUAGUAAUUUUUAUUACCAGGAAUUUCCUUCAACUUUAUCAUUCAUUAUGAUUAACAGCAAAUAAAUUUUUAGGAUUAUUAUCAAAUUUGAGAAGAGUUCUCUAAAGUGUCUUUCACACGUGAAUGCUAAGAUUUCAGGACAUUUAAAGUAUCCUUAUGUAGUUACUGUGCAAUUUUAAAACAUGUUUACAAGUUCUUUGACUCAUCUCCCAUGGAGAGGUAGAGUGGACUAUGUCCCUUCCUUUUGAUUCAGGGUGGGCUUGUGUCUGCUUCAAUCAAGAGUUCUGUCACUUCUAACAUUUAAAAAACUGUGUUUUACACAAGUAAGUUUUAAGAUGGCUUGGUACACAGCAAUAAAUAACAUGAAGAAAUACUAGAGUUAAACUCCCGGAAUUAACAUACAUUAACCAGUUGGCCAUCAAUGUUUUCCUCAUUAUAGUGGCGUGUUAUUGAAUGUCAUGUUAUUUUCUUUGAAAAAUUUCCUGUCAAAUCAGCAAGAAAUUAAUAAAAAUGAGUACAGAUGUGAUUGAGCAAGGCCAUUUCAGGCUGAGGGAGGAGCAUGAACAAAUAUGGGGCCUGGUAAAGAUAAGGGGAUGAAUUUGGACAGAAUGUGGUGAACAUACAAGGUGAAAGUGGGUGAUAAGUCUACAGCAGUGUGUUGAAGCCUGGAAAAGAGGAGGGAAAAGGUGCCAGAUGCUGGAAUGUGCCUGCAAAUAGAUUGUCAGAUUCUGAGAAGAGGCUGAAGACAGAUGAAGUUAAGGAAUCAGGGGCUUGAUGAUGGAUCACUAAACAACUGAAAGGUUCCAACUCUUGCCACUGCUAUCCACCGCUCACAAACCUUUCAGGUUUUUUUCAUGGGUUCAUGCCUCAAUAUAUGCUGCUGUUCCAAUUGCAUGGGGUCCCAUUCUCCACUGCAUCUGCCUGAUGGAUCCAAUUCAUCUUCUAAAACUUACCUCCAUAGCUUUACAAUGAACUCUUGAAACCAUUUGCAAGCUCCCAUGUCUAUCCCCUAAAUAAAAAGUGUGGGUGUUCUUCUUAGAUCUCUGGAGCCUGCUUUCAACCGUGACAGGACAAAACAAAAGACUCCACACAGGUGAGGACAUACCUUGACGUACUUGAAUAGCUUAAAUCAAGAAUAGCAGUUGUGUAUUUAAUAACUUCUGCCAUGUGAGACAAAGCCUAACUUAUAUGUUCAGUAAGGGUGUUGAAGAGAUAGGUGUUCCCACAAAACAAAUCUGAAGAAAGGAAAGGUGGCUAUUUGAGGUAAAAGAAUAUUUGUUAAAGCAGCAUGAGUUCAUUAAAUCUCAAGGUGGCCUUGUAUUUAUUUGCUUUCUUGUCUUCAUGCCUCUCUCCACCUCUCAGCUCAAAGUUGGCUACCUUGAAAUUAACUGGCUUGAAUGAGAGGUCCACACCCUUAAUUCAGUAUUUCCCCUGAAUCACUUCCUUCAACAAAUAAAUUUUACUAGGAUUUUUUUUCUUCAAAGUCUUUUUAAAUGGCGUGUCUUACUAUGUCUAGGAAAUAAUUUUGGGUGUGGUUACUGGUAUAUAGAGCAUGGAACUGACUGGAAGCAAAGUGAUUAGAAAUCUACUGAGUAUUUGAGGGAAUUGAUUCCCUCCCAAAAUACAACACUAGUUUAGAAUGCCUUUGAUUGAUUGCAACAACGCAAACAUUGGACCCCAAAGUUUUUUUGUGUAGAAUGCCCUUUCAAAGAUUUAAGAGCUAGGGUGCCUGGGUGACUCAGUCAGUUAAGGUCUGACUUUGGCUCAGAUCAUGAUCUUACAGUUCCUGAGUUUGAGCUCCACAUUGGGCUCUGUGCUGAAAGCUUAGAGGUUGUUUUGGAUUCUCUGUCUUCCCCUCUCUCUUCCCCUCUCUUGCUGGUGCUCUCUCUCUCUUUCUCUCUCAAAAAUAAACAAACAUUAAAAAAAAAGACUUAAAAGCCUUCACAGAGGACAUGCUCCUGAAUAUCCACUUUAUAUGGGCAUUCACCCUGAGGGCAGAGCCAAGGGCAAAAGAGAACUGUGGAUGGGGGAGUUUCUCACUGAGAGCAAAAUCAGGCUUAAGGCAAGAAACUCCCCCACCCCAGAAUAGGGGGCCAACACAGUGUCUGCCCAGUGACAACUGUUCUUCAACUUUGUGAAUGGAGUAUUUAUUGAACUUAUCCUGUCCCUGUUCUCCAUUCAAUAUAUUGAUUAUUGAGUAUACAGAAGGAAGAGGGGAGCAGAAAACACAUCCUGUAAGUCAACUGGAUAUCAAGCAAGAAGGAAUAGACCUGAUGUAGGGGACUGAGCCUCACCUGAAAUCUUGGACACUAGGACUGGAGGGGAUUUGGGGUUGUCAUUCUGGGGAAAGGGUAGAUGUCUGUGGGUGGGAAGAUGAUCAAAAUUGAUAUUUGGCGAUCAGAGGGUAGACUGUGGCAGGGGCUGGCAAGAUGCCUAUUUGCUCUCAGUUUUUUGGACACACAAGAAAAUUAGAUUUUUGAGUUUCCUUUGCAUUUACAAGGUGGAGUCCGGUGAUUGGACAUGGUCUCAACAAUGGUAUGUGGGUAGAAAUGAUUUAUGCCAGUUCCAGGAUUGGUUUCUAAAAAGCUUUUGUGCAACCUGCCACACCAUCUUGUCGCAUACAUUUGCUGAUUAGAUGGAUGAAGUUGUGUAUUCCAAGGAGUCUGAAGGAUAGUAGAGCCACACAGUUUGGCAAGUAUAUUGUCCAGGUUGAGCACUUGUGCUGUAUUAAAGCGAUUAAAUAAUUUGUCUUCUGAACCAGGGCAGUUUUAAGGUUAAAGGAUGGGGCAGUAUUAAAGAUUUUGCUGGGCCAACAUGUGUGCACAAAGACAGUCAAGGGCAUUUGAUGUAUGGUUGUCCUAUUUAGUGUAGGUGUCUCUAGUGCGGAUGAGGCCAGGCUAAAGAGUUCUUGAGAAAGAACUGAACAGGUGACACAGGCAGCAGUUGGAUGUCAACCCUUACACAGGGCAUUUCACUGCCAGGACAAAACUUCAGACAGGACCAGUAAGGAAAAUGUCCUUUCCCCCUUUACUCCUUCCUCCCCACCCUGACCUUGGAGGGUCUAGAAGAAAAAUAUUGAGUAGGGAAAGAAUAUUGAAGACAGGUUAGAAAAACAUGACAAAGAACAGACUAUGUCUGAUUUCUCUAUUGCUGGUUUGCAAAAGCCCAGAUCAGGUCUGCAUUAUGGAAAAAAUACUUUGAAUUGAAUGAGUAACUGGAGUCUUUAUUGGACUCGUAAAAAAUCUGAAAAUGAGUCUUUUUCAUCUUAUAGUAGCUGGAAAAAUUAAAGGGUAUACUUGAAAAAAUAGUAGUAAUAACUAAUACUGUAUAAUAUGUAGUCCAUUAACUAACAUGUAUGUUAACUAUAACUAAUCGUGGGAGUUGGGAUUGAGAUUCAGGUGAUCUGGUUCUCCUGGGUCUGAGCUUCUUACUCCUCUGCACAACCUCCUUCAGCUGAGCUGCUUCAUGGAGAGCAAAGACAGCCGUGGAGAAAAAUAAAACUACUUUCUGCCUGCACCCCAUUGAGUCCAGCUUAUUUAAACUGUUAGAUGUGCAUAAGAACACAGCCUCAGUCUUCAAGGAUCAAGGAUAACAGUAACACUGGAGAGAAAGUUGUGGUGCUAGAAAUACAGAGCUGAUGUAAUACUCCAAACUAUCAAAACUAAGAGAACAAAUGAAUUUCUCAAGUCGUGAAUACAAAGUGUCCAUGUCUGAGUCUGUUGGGAUAUUUCUUAUUCAUCUGCACAAAUCUCUGCAGAGUGGGAAAGGCGAUGGCAGGGUGGGUGUUUGGACGGAUAAAGAGCCUGACAAGACAAACAAGGGCAGUUGAAGAGCAUUGUGUCCCUGGAGCCAAGGCUUUUAAGGAGGAGAGUCAUCAGUGUUAUAAAAAACACAAAGGAUACUAGUGCAAAUAAUCAUGAAAAGAGCUUUUGUUAGUUCUUUUUUUGCUUUUUAAAGGAAACAAAUUUUGCCUUGUUAAAAUCAAUUUCCUGCCCAUAGAGUUUUAGUUUCUUUAACGUCAAGUGCAAAAUGAAAGUCACGUUCAAGUGAAGUAUCCUUUUCUUUCAGGUUCUCCUAGGCUAUGAUGAACAUUUGGCCGGACCUUAGCUGGACCACGUCCAGCAAUGCUAAAUAAUCUCAGUCGAGAUGCAGCGCUCUCUUGUUUUAUCACAAAUAUUCUGCCUAACUUUUAUGAUUCCUGAUUGUGGGCUCCUCCGAGGAAGCAGCAGGGUACGUGAGGCUUUUCCUGAUAGGGGUAAAUAUAAUUGGACAAAUUAAGACCUUCUUUUUCCCAGUGAAAUAAAUUCAGAGUCACAAGUCUGGGUCAGGAACUAAGUUUAUGACAGGGCGUCCCGGAUGUCUCUGCAGUUUCCUCUUUGUAUCGGACGCCAGAAUCGAGUCAACUUGGUCCAGAUGGUUGCCAAUCUGCACAGCUGCUCCUCCCCUGAGCAGCCAUCGAUUGGGUUGUACUGAGACUCUAUGAGGUCUCUGGUGUCCAAGGAUGUUUGCAAACCAUGUGCUGCAUCCUCGGAGGCCAGGGAGGAGAAGGAGAGAUGGAGGCGCUACCUUGUAAAGAUGCAACUGUCACCACCUGAGAGUAAACUGAUGGGAUACAUUUAGGGUUUGUUGGGAGGGUGAAAUGACAGACCAGAGCACAUGAGCACUGAUUAGACACAUCGCCCCCACUUUUUUUUUUCUUUUCUGUGCUUCCUUCUCCAAUGGCAGAUUCACUUGGUCUAGUCUCACUUUGGAGGAGCUAGCCUCUUUUCUGGGUGAUUUUAAGUAAAAUAGCUUUUGAGGUCUUUAUUUUUGUUUGCUUUUUAAAUUAUGGAUAUGGCCAACAGGGUUUUUGCUUUAUUUCUUUGUUAUUCUACAUCGGGAACAAGGAAUGCAAAUUUUUUCUUUUAAGUACUUAGUAUUUGUGGUAUUUAAGUAUAGUAUUUAGUAUAAGUAUUGUUAUAAGUACACUAAAACCUUGGGCUGCAAGUAAAUCGGUCUGUGAGUAUUCCACAAGACGAGCAAACAUUUCUAAUAAAUUUUAACUUGAUAAACGAGUGAUGUCUUGCAAUGUGAGUAGUCCAUGAUGCUGAAUGUCACAUGAUCACAACUGAGCCAAUGGUUCUUGAAUUUCACUUUGAUAUACAAGUGCUUUGGAUUACAGGCAUGUUUCUGGAGUGGAUUAUGCUCGCAAACCAAGGUUUUACUCUAUUUAUUUUAAGGGUGCAGACUCAUUGUGAACCUCUCCUCUCCCGCUUUUUCUGUAGUCCAGCACUACCGUGGAGAGAGGGAGGACUGUGGAGGGGAAUGGCGGAAUGUGGGCCACCCCCAUUUCUCAUUAACCUAGGACUGCCUUGGUUUACAGGCCCCAACUUCACAUCUAAAACCUAACUGGUUCCACUUCUACAGUCAGCUUCUCCAUUUCUCAAUGCUUUAGAACCUUAGUUCGCCAUGUCAUUAUGAUAAGCAAAUGAUAUAAUUGUCAUUUACCACAUUAGAGGACAUUAUCUGAGGAAAUAAGAAACUUAAUUCUUCCAGUAGUGUCUGAGCUACUACUCACCCAUCUUUUAUAACUCUCCUGCAUAUUCUCAAGAAAGUUUUAUCUUAUGUGCACUAUUUUAGGUACCUUAUUUGAGUAGUCUGAAGAAGAGUCCAAGUUAGCUAGGCCUAAUUAUAAAGAUCGAAAGGGUAUUCUAAGGAAAUAGGCCAAUUUAGCAAAUUUGCUCCAAGAAUUCUAGUCAUUCUUGCAUUCUUAAUGCAAACUCAUGCUUUUCUGCAUUCAGAGACAAAAAUCUAUGCAGGGAUUGUGAGUCCUGGGUUCUAAUUAAUUAUCCAGGGCUUUGUCUUCAUCAGCUCUUUAGAAUUCCAUACUCUUCAGAAGAAUCCUGAAGGAGGAUCAUGAGGAUGGCCCAAAAGAUAUCUUGGACAUCCUUUAAAAAAAUUUAACAUUUUAUAAUGAUUUAAGUGUAAGCAAAUCAGAGACACAUGGAUUACAUUUCCCUUGGAAUACACAUGGGUUUGAAACAUUAAGGGAAAACAGGCUUGGCACAUUGUGGUUGGGCACUAUUGAAUGUAAAACAUUUGGGGAAAAUAUUUAGUUUUUUUGACAAGUGCCAAAAAUGACCAAGUUCACUCAUCUGCUUUCCCUCUCUUUUGCCUUUAGCAUUAGCCUAAAGUUGGAGGGCUUUCGAAGUGAGAGGAGAGAGAGGGUUUUGUAUUUCUUUGUCAGAGAAAUAGCUUUGCCUUGUCUUUCUAUUCUUCCAUCUUUAUCUCCCACCACAGAAGGGGAUGAAUAAUUCUUGACUUUGAAGAGUGAUAUCGUUUUUGGACAGUGUGUUUCAGAGCUGGGUCAAUUCACAUAGUAUUAAACUCCACAGAGCCUGGGGGUGGGGGUUAAUGAAUCUUUAUCGAGUCAGAUUGAAUACCUUAAAAGAAUAAUCUGCCAUGUAGUUGUAUUGUGUAAUUGUCAGCCGCAUUGUGCCUUCCUGCCAACUUACUCUUUCCUUCCUCCUUCUCUCUCCCACAAAUAUUUAUUGACCAUCUCUUAUGUACGAGGAAAUGUGCUAAGUACUGCCAGGAGCUGAAGAUUUGGUCUUUGGGUAUUUUUAGGUGGUGACAACCUUAGUAUAAAUAUGUAGUAGAUAAGUGCUAGGUUGGAUAUUUUGAGGUUUCAUAUCUUUUUCGAGGCAUUUGUAGAUGAUUAUGAAUAACCCAUUAUUUCUUCUUCUGCUACUUGUCAAAUAUUCAUUUAUGUGGCAUUUCUGGCAGAUAUGCCCCUUGGAUUCUGAUUCUAUCGUAGAAGAAACAAAUGUAAUUCAUUCAUCCGUAGGGGGUGUGAUUCUACAUACUUAAAUGGUGUUCUAAAAGUGGGUCUGGAGGCAGGAAGUCAUUUUGGGGUGAUGUCACAGUGGAUGCCUUGCCCUGACAUCUCCUUAGGGCUUAGCUUUUGAAAUUGUAUUUAUGGAGACCCCACCCCCAUUCCCUGUUACCAAAGUUCAUUGGAAUUAUGUGUUUAAGUGAGUAAUGAGCUAUAGCAAGAGAUUGUAAAGCAAAUAAGAGACUGGAAGUAGCUUAUAAUAGGCAAGACAAUUAUAGGCAGUCUCUUUUCCUGAAUUAAGAUAAGGGAAACUGCCCACUGUUGGGUUCAUUGUUGAGUCUAUUGGUCUGCUUGCACUACUGCAUACACAGAGUCUGGAAAUAAAAGCCAAACCUGGAAGUGCAAACAUUCAUUUUUUUGAGGUUUUUGGAAGGGGACCUUAUAACUCUCCAAGUUUAUUAGGCCUUGAGAAAUAAAAUUCAGUCAGGGCUGAAGCUUGAGCCCACUGGAGUAUGAAAGCCUGGAAAUUGAUCUUUGACUUACUUUAGUCUUAUUGUAAGCACACUAGGAUGGGUAACUUGCACCAGGUGGGAAAGCAGGCUUGCAGUGGAGAUUUGUAGAAUAAGAGGCUAUCAAGACCCUAUGAGAAUGUUAAAGAGAGCAUCUCAAAGUUCUUGUUGAAGCCAUGUCUUCAUCCUUGUUUUUAUCUUUUCUUUGCAACAGACAGUUGCUGUUGAACAGAUAGCUCUUUGCAUAAUGGUCUAGUCAAAUUUUGCAACAUGUGAAGGAGGCUGCCAACCAUUUUAAUGGAGAGUUAGACACUUGAAUAAUCAUUCACUUUCCUUUUUUCUAUCUCAGAAAAGAAUUCAUUUUCAUGAUUCUCUAAGAUUUUUGAGCAUGGCUAAGAGGUGUGGUUUGCUUUUCUGUUCUCUCUCCAUUUUAAUUCAUUAAAAGUCACCAACUAGAUUGGGAAUCUGUAUCUAUUAAAUGCUUCUCAAAAUUUUAGUUGAGCCAACCUGAGUUGAUUUUUAUCUCAGGUUUUUGAGGUUUUUUUUUUAAUGUUUAUUUGUUUUUAAGAGAGAGAGACAGAGCAUGAGCAGGGGA